UACGUAGGUGGCGAGCGUUGUCCGGAAUUACUGGGUGUAAAGGGCGUGUAGGCGGGAUUGCAAGUCAGAUGUGAAAUUCCGGGGCUUAACCUCGGCGCUGCAUCUGAAACUGUGAUUCUUGAGUGAUGGAGAGGAAAGUGGUAUUCCUAGUGUAGCGGUGAAAUGCGUAGAUAUUAGGAGGAACACCAGUGGCGAAGGCGACUUUCUGGACAUUAACUGACGCUGAGGCGCGAAAGCGUGGGGAGCAAACAGG
rnacentral:rRNA from 1 species